GCCGAGGUGGCGGAAUUGGCAGACGCGCACGUUUGAGGGGCGUGUGGGGUAACCCGUGGGGGUUCGAGUCCCCCCCUCGGCA
rnacentral:tRNA from 2 species